UGCCGAGAACGCGCGGGAGGGUCCUUCUGCUCUGGGGCUCCAGGCUGCUAAGAAAGCACACACAGGGGAGCCCUGCUUUCUACCACCGCCACUCCGAGAGUGCAGGCUGCUCCGAGGAUCUGUGUCUCUGGGUCCCGGGACAGGAGCGCCCUGGUCGUGGUCAGGGGAAGGGGGCAGGCAGACCGGUCACGGACAAAAGUAGGGUGCUCCAGGUUAAGAGUUGCCCAAUUUUCCAGCACAAAUACUUGUUGACAAAUAAUUGACUUUGUAAACUAUCAUCAGAUAGAUGUUAACCAUGCAGUACAAAGUGAUAAACGUCAAGAGUGUUCAAAAGACAGUUCGCACUGUACAGGCUGUGAGACCAAGAGCCUUACCAACCACUCCGAGGAGCUUGAUAGCCACGAGAAUCACCUGGGAAGGAGCACACUGGACAAGUUGGAAAUGAAACAGACCUUUAUUAGUCUGACCAGACAGCACUCCUGAAGCCGAGUAACUCAGAGAGGUGCUACUUCAGGGGCUGAGGGAUUCUUAUAAGGGGAUACAGGGGGCUUUAACAGUCAAAGCUUGCAGUCAGGUGGCAAAGGUUAAUGGUCUGCUGAUUUGCACUAGUGGCCAGCUGUCACGUAUUCAGCAGCCACACGUUGAUGGUUAACAGAUGCCUACAAGAUGUUCUAAGAUCUUAAAAGCAUUUCAGCUUUAAGCAGUUUUCUCUGUUGAAGAUAAGGGCAGGGUGAAACAAUAGUCUCUGGGCCAACAUGGAGUCACUUUAGCUCAGUCAGGUCUUACAAGGCAAAGAAAAAUAAUUAACCCUAUCAUAGAAUAAUUCUGAAAUUUGUUGGCACUAGUA